rnacentral:rRNA from 1 species
GAACUACAAAGGAAUUGACGGGGGCCCGGCACAAGCGGUGGAGUAUGUGGUUUAAUUCGAUGCAACGCGAAGAACCUUACCUGGUCUUGACAUCCCGGAGACCCUUAGGAAACUAGGGGGUGCUUCCAUCUGGAAGAAUCUGGAGACAGGUGCUGCAUGGCUGUCGUCAGCUCGUGUCGUGAGAUGUUGGGUUAAGUCCCGCAACGAGCGCAACCCUUGCCUUUAGUUGCCAGCAGUUCGGCUGGGCACUCUAAAGGGACUGCCGGUGUUAAACCGGAGGAAGGUGGGGAUGACGUCAAGUCCUCAUGGCCUUUAUGACCAGGGCUACACACGUACUACAAUGGCCGAUACAAAGGGCAGCGACACUGCGAGGUGAAGCCAAUCCCGUAAAAUCGGUCUCAGUCCGGAUUGGAGUCUGCAACUCGACUCCAUGAAGUUGGAAUCGCUAGUAAUCGUGGAUCAGCAUGCCACGGUGAAUACGUUCCCGGGCCUU